rnacentral:rRNA from 1 species
UUUCGAAUCAUUCACAAUGGGCGAAAGCCUGAUGGUGCGACGCCGCGUGGGGGAUGAAGGUCUUCGGAUUGUAAACCCCUGUCACCGGGGAUGAAACGCUUUGAGCUAAUAGUUCAAAGCCUGACUUAACCCGGAGAGGAAGCAGUGGCUAACUCUGUGCCAGCAGCCGCGGUAAUACAGAGACUGCAAGCGUUAUUCGGAUUCACUGGGCGUAAAGGGUGCGCAGGCGGCUAGAUGUGUCAGGUGUGAAAUCCCGAGGCUCAACCUCGGAACUGCGCCUGAAACUAUUUAGCUAGAGUAUUGGAGAGGGUAACGGAAUUCACGGUGUAGCAGUGAAAUGCGUAGAUAUCGUGAGGAACACCAGAGGCGAAGGCGGUUACCUGGACAAUUACUGACGCUCAGGCACGAAAGCGUGGGGAGCAAAAGGG